GAACGCACAUUGCGCCCGCCAGUAUUCUGGCGGGCAUGCCUGUCUGAGCGUCAUUUCAACCCUCAUGCCCCUAGGGCGUGGUGUUGGGGAUCGGCCAAAGCCCGCGAGGGACGGCCGGCCCCUAAAUCUAGUGGCGGACCCGUCGUGGCCUCCUCUGCGAAGUAGUGAUAUUCCGCAUCGGAGAGCGACGAGCCCCUGCCGUUAAACCCCCAACUUUCCAAGGUUGACCUCAGAUCAGGUAGGAAUACCCGCUGAACUUAAG
rnacentral:misc_RNA from 1 species